CAACCCUUGUCAUUAGUUGCUACAUUCAGUUGGCACUCUAAUGAGACUGCCGGUGACAAACCGGAGGAAGGUGGGGAUGACGUCAAGUCCUCAUGGCCCUUAUAGGUGGGGCUACACACGUCAUACAAUGGAUGGUACAAAGGGUCGCCAACCCGCGAGGGGGAAGCCAAUCCCAUAAAGCCAUUCGUAGUCCGGAUCGCAGUCUGCAACUCGACUGCGUGAAGUCGGAAUCGCUAGUAAUCGUGGAUCAGAAUGUCACGGUGAAUACGUUCCCGGGUCUU
rnacentral:rRNA from 1 species